AUUGAACGCUGGCGGCAUGCCUUACACAUGCAAGUCGAACGGCAGCGCGGGAGCAAUCCUGGCGGCGAGUGGCGAACGGGUGAGUAAUACAUCGGAACGUGCCCAAUCGUGGGGGAUAACGCAGCGAAAGCUGUGCUAAUACCGCAUACGAUCUACGGAUGAAAGCAGGGGAUCGCAAGACCUUGCGCGAAUGGAGCGGCCGAUGGCAGAUUAGGUAGUUGGUGAGGUAAAGGCUCUCCAAGCCUUCGAUCUGUAGCUGGUCUGAGAGGACGACCAGCCACACUGGGACUGAGACACGGCCCAGACUCCUACGGGAGGCAGCAGUGGGGAAUUUUGGACAAUGGGCGAAAGCCUGAUCCAGCCAUGCCGCGUGCAGGAUGAAGGCCUUCGGGUUGUAAACUGCUUUUGUACGGAACGAAACGGUCUUUUCUAAUAAAGAAGGCUAAUGACGGUACCGUAAGAAUAAGCACCGGCUAACUACGUG
rnacentral:rRNA from 1 species